GUCCACGCCGUAAACGUUGGGCGCUAGAUGUGGGGACCUUUCCACGGUUUCCGUGUCGUAGCUAACGCAUUAAGCGCCCCGCCUGGGGAGUACGGCCGCAAGGCUAAAACUCAAAGGAAUUGACGGGGGCCCGCACAAGCGGCGGAGCAUGCGGAUUAAUUCGAUGCAACGCGAAGAACCUUACCAAGGCUUGACAUAACCGAGAACGCCGCAGAAAUGUGGAACUCUUUGGACACUCGGUUACAGGUGGUGCAUGGUUGUCGU
rnacentral:rRNA from 1 species